GAUGAACGCUGGCGGCGUGCUUAACACAUGCAAGUCGAACGGAAAGGCUCCUGCUUGCAGGGGUACUCGAGUGGCGAACGGGUGAGUAACACGUGGGUGAUCUGCCCUGCACUUCGGGAUAAGCCUGGGAAACUGGGUCUAAUACCGGAUAGGACGAUGGUUUGGAUGCCAUUGUGGAAAGUUUUUCGGUGUGGGAUGAGCUCGCGGCCUAUCAGCUUGUUGGUGGGGUAAUGGCCUACCAAGGCGUCGACGGGUAGCCGGCCUGAGAGGGUGUACGGCCACAUUGGGACUGAGAUACGGCCCAGACUCCUACGGGAGGCAGCAGUGGGGAAUAUUGCACUAUGGGCGCGAGCCUGAUGCAGCGAAGCCGCGUGGGGGAUGACGGCCUUCGGGUUGUAAACUCCUUUCGCUAGGGACGAAGCGAAAGUGACGGUACCUGGAGAAGAAGCACCGGCUAACUACGUG
rnacentral:rRNA from 1 species